GUCCAGGGGCGGGAAUCGAACCCAAGCCUAGUGGACAUGGCAUCUGCCCGGUAAGCGGAAGGUCGUGGGUUCGAUUCCCGCCCCUGGACA
rnacentral:tRNA from 1 species